rnacentral:rRNA from 1 species
UAGUGGCGCACGGGUGCGUAACGCGUGGGAAUCUGCCCUUGGGUUCGGAAUAACAGUUGGAAACGACUGCUAAUACCGGAUGAUGUCGUAAGUCCAAAGAUUUAUCGCCCAAGGAUGAGCCCGCGUAGGAUUAGCUAGUUGGUGAAGUAAAGGCUCACCAAGGCGACGAUCCUUAGCUGGUCCGAGAGGAUGAUCAGCCACACUGGGACUGAGACACGGCCCAGACUCCUACGGGAGGCAGCAGUAGGGAAUAUUGGACAAUGGGCGAAAGCCUGAUCCAGCAAUGCCGCGUGAGUGAUGAAGGCCUUAGGGUUGUAAAGCUCUUUUACCCGAGAUGACAAUGACAGUACCGGGAGAAUAAGCCUCGGCUAACUCCGUGCCAGCAGCCGCGGUAAU